AUUGAACGCUGGCGGCAGGCUUAACACAUGCAAGUCGAGCGAGCGGCGGACGGGUGAGUAAUUUCUGGGAAACUGCCUGAUGGAGGGGGAUAACUACUGGAAACGGUAGCUAAUACCGCAUACCAUCAGAUGUGCCCAGAUGGGAUUAGCUAGUAGGUGGGGUAAUGGCUCACCUAGGCGACGAUCCCUAGCUGGUCUGAGAGGAUGACCAGCCACACUGGAACUGAGACACGGUCCAGACUCCUACGGGAGGCAGCAGUGGGGAAUAUUGCACAAUGGGCGCAAGCCUGAUGCAGCCAUGCCGCGUGUGUGAAGAAGGCCUUCGGGUUGUAAAGCACUUUCAGGGAGGAGGCGGAACAUGGAGAAGAAGCAACGGCUAACUACGUGACAGCAGCCGCGGUAAUAC
rnacentral:rRNA from 1 species